UGCUGCUGUGGGGCCCUCUCCUUAAACUUGAACCUCGCCUUUUACUAGAUUCAACCGGGCUGGUCCCACACUUAUAGCAGCAUGACCUACUUUUUCGCUUCGGUUCCGCUUGGAACUA
rnacentral:snRNA from 1 species